GGUUAAGCGACUAAGCGUACACGGUGGAUGCCCUGGCAGUCAGAGGCGAUGAAGGACGUGCUAAUCUGCGAUAAGCGCCGGUAAGGUGAUAUGAACCGUUAUAACCGGCGAUUUCCGAAUGGGGAAACCCAGUGUGACUCGUCACACUAUCAUUAACUGAAUCCAUAGGUUAAUGAGGCGAACCGGGGGAACUGAAACAUCUAAGUACCCCGAGGAAAAGAAAUCAACCGAGAUUCCCCCAGUAGCGGCGAGCGAACGGGGAGGAGCCCAGA
rnacentral:rRNA from 1 species